rnacentral:rRNA from 1 species
CAUGCAAGUCGAACGAAGGCUUCGGCCUUAGUGGCGCACGGGUGCGUAACGCGUGGGAAUCUGCCCUUGGGUUCGGAAUAACAGUGAGAAAUUACUGCUAAUACGGGAUGAUGUCGAAAGACCAAAGAUUUAUCGCCCGAGGAUGAGCCCGCGUAGGAUUAGCUAGUUGGUGAGGUAAGAGCUCACCAAGGCGACGAUCCUUAGCUGGUCUGAGAGGAUGAUCAGCCACACUGGGACUGAGACACGGCCCAGACUCCUACGGGAGGCAGCAGUGGGGAAUAUUGGACAAUGGGCGAAAGCCUGAUCCAGCAAUGCCGCGUGAGUGAUGAAGGCCUUAGGGUUGUAAAGCUCUUUUACCCGGGAUGAUAAUGACAGUACCGGGAGAAUAAGCCCCGGCUAACUCCGUGCCAGCAGCCGCGGUAAUACGGAGGGGGCUAGCGUUAUUCGGAAUUACUGGGCGUAAAGCGCACGUAGGCGGCUUUGUAAGUCAGAGGUGAAAGCCUGGAGCUCAACUCCAGAACUGCCUUUGAGACUGCAUCGCUUGAAUCCAGGAGAGGUGAGUGGAAUUCCGAGUGUAGAGGUGAAAUUCGUAGAUAUUCGGAAGAACACCAGUGGCGAAAGCGGCUCACUGGACUGGUAUUGACGCUGA